rnacentral:rRNA from 2 species
UGAGGAAUAUUGGUCAAUGGACGAGAGUCUGAACCAGCCAAGUAGCGUGAAGGAUGACUGCCCUAUGGGUUGUAAACUUCUUUUGUAAGGGAAUAAAGUGAGCCACGUGUGGCUUUUUGCAUGUACCUUACGAAUAAGGAUCAGCUAACUCCGUGCCAGCAGCCGCGGUAAUACGGGGGAUCCGAGCGUUAUCCGGAUGUAUUGGGUUUAAAGGGGGCGCAGGCGGGAGAUUAAGUCGGCGGUGAAAUUUUGCAGCUCAACUGUAAAAGUGCCUUCGAAACUUGUUUCCUUGAGUGUAGAUGAAGUAGGCGGAAUUUGUGGUGUAGCGGUGAAAUGCAUAGAUAUCACGAGGAACUCCGAUUGCGAAGGCAGCUUACUAAGCUACUACUGACGCUCAGGCACGAAGGCGUGGGGAUCAAACAGG